ACCUGGUCAAUUUUAAUUGAUGUCUAAGGAAAGCAAUGGGGGGACCCCCAUGCAUCUUAACUUAUCUAGCCAUAUUAAGAGAUUCAGUUUCAUGUUAGGUUUACUUGUUAACUCGAGUUCACCCAUGCCGACUAGGCUAGUUAGACAUAUUGAUGUGCUGACCUAAUUUAAUCAAUUGGAUAUCAGAUCUGCUGAUUUAGAAGAGACCUAAACUCAAAUCUCCUCAUUAAAUUUUUGAGUCUAGAGGUCUUCCAUCAUUGUAGAGAUGUGGGUGCCUUCCUGAUGUUGAUCAUUCUCGAUUGGUUACAGCAGUUCGAUUGCAUCAGGAAGGUACAACCACUCUAUUAACAUUUGAUGUCCCAAGAUAGAGAUGAGGUUGGGCCCAAUAACUGUUAGAUGAGGGUCUCAAUAAUG
rnacentral:lncRNA from 1 species